CGAGUGGGCUCCGGCACAGCGAGUCCGGGGCUGCACGGGCCGCCCCCCGCCCGAACCGGGCUUUCCCCUGCACAUCGGCCUGGCCGCGACACCGCUUUUUUUUCCUUUUUUUUUUUCUUUUUCUUUUUUUUCUUUCCUUCCUCUUCUUUCUUUCUUUUCUUUUCUUUUCUUUUCUUGUUUUCUUUCUUUCUUUCUUUUUUAACGUUCUAUAAGUUAUUUUUGAGGAUGCUGACCCAGCGGGGGCUGGUGGUGGUGCGUGGUUGUGCUGUGGAGCCCGGGACAGCUGCAAGCAGUCCAGCGCUGCGAUGAGCCCUGGCACAGCCCUGGCACGGCUGUUCCGACUGAAGCCACCGGCAGCCCGCUGCCUUCCUUCUGCACUGAAACUUCCUGCUGUCUACAGGUCUCCAAAACUGGGCACAAAGAAGCUGAGGAGCUUUUCAGCACCCUGCCACCUUCCCCACACAGCUCUCAUAAGCUUUAGCCUCCCCUCAUCUCAGCAUAUGGGCAGCUUUGCCACGUAGUCCCACAUGUUCCCAGGCUCCCGAAGGGACACCAGCAGCCGCUGCCUGCUGGUGGAGGGGUGACACAUGGGCAAGUCUCAGUCGUGGAGCACAACCUCACAGAGUCGUUGGUGUCCUCGGUCAGCAACACUGGGCUACAGCGCAGGAAGGCAGACGGGCAACACUGGGCUUCCCGAGGCACUGCUACAGCUUUGGAUAACCAUGGCUUGGUCACAGCCAGAGCAUCGUGGGCCAGCUCAGGUUCUCAGCUACCCAAGUGCACGAUCCAAGGCUCUGCCCAUGGCCUCUAAACUACUGAGAGCAGCCCUGUCGCAAGAUUGAGUUGCCAGCAAAGAGCAGAAGUCAACACAGAAAUUUAACAACUAGCUUCACAAGCUGCAGUACCACAUGUGCUGGAUGUGUCUGAAGGGCCAAAUGCACCACUUGGGCUGCCAGGCAAAAGAAACUUGCAUUACCGCUCUUGUUCAAAGCUGUCACACUUGCAGAGAAAAGUAAUGACUGGUCGGUGGUGAGAUAUCCUGUAUUUAUUCUGUAACUCAGCAAUAACAGUGAUUUUCCUGUUGUGAAAACGCAAUAAACAAACUGCAGAGAGAAGGAACUA